rnacentral:rRNA from 1 species
UACGUAGGGUGCAAGCGUUGUCCGGAAUUACUGGGCGUAAAGCGUGCGUAGGCGGUUUGUUAAGUCUGUCGUGAAAGCCCCGGGCUCAACCUGGGAAUGGCGAUGGAUACUGGCGAGCUAGAGUACGGUAGAGGAGAGUGGAAUUCCCGGUGUAGCAGUGAAAUGCGUAGAGAUCGGGAGGAAUAUCAGUUGCGAAGGCGGCUCUCUGGACCAGUACUGACGCUGAGGCACGAAAGCGUGGGGAGCAAACAGG